rnacentral:ncRNA from 1 species
AAUAAACCGAUGAACAAGAGAAGUAAGUAAUGAAAUGCCUUACAGAGAGCCGCUUACUGGUGGAAGAGCGGCAGUGCUACGAUUACUGAAUGGACUUGUGAGGGUGGCUCGAAAGCAGUAAAUAUUGCAAGUAGACGUCAACGGGAACCUCAACCGUUAUCAACGAGGUGUAUAUGAUAGUAUACAAACAGAGCGGAUGCAAUAGCAUCAAUAUGGGUGGUACCGCAGAGAGUAGUCUUUGUCCCUUAA